AAGGGUAUAGCUCAGUGGUAGAGUGUGUGCUUAGCAUGUAUGAGGUCCUGGGUUCAAUUCCCCAGUACCUCCA
rnacentral:tRNA from 1 species